rnacentral:rRNA from 1 species
GAUGAACGCUAGCUACAGGCUUAACACAUGCAAGUCGAGGGGAAACGGCAUUGAGUGCUUGCACUCUUUGGACGUCGACCGGCGCACGGGUGAGUAACGCGUAUCCAACCUUCCCAUUACUGUGGGAUAACCUGCCGAAAGGCAGACUAAUACCGCAUAGUCUUCGAUGACGGCAUCAGAUUUGAAGUAAAGAUCUAUCGGUAAUGGAUGGGGAUGCGUCUGAUUAGCUUGUUGGCGGGGUAACGGCCCACCAAGGCUACGAUCAGUAGGGGUUCUGAGAGGAAGGUCCCCCACAUUGGAACUGAGACACGGUCCAAACUCCUACGGGAGGCAGCAGUGAGGAAUAUUGGUCAAUGGACGGAAGUCUGAACCAGCCAAGUAGCGUGCAGGAUGACGGCCCUAUGGGUUGUAAACUGCUUUUGUAUGGGGAUAAAGUUAGGGACGUGUCCCUAUUUGCAGGUACCAUACGAAUAAGAACCGGCUAAUUCCGUG